ACAGUUAAAAAAGUAUUCACUCAUAUAAUCGCGGGAAUAUGGCCUGCAAGUUUCUACCAAGCUACCUUAAAUAGCUUGACUAUGUGUGAGCAAUGGGUAAAU
rnacentral:ncRNA from 2 species